CGAACAAUUUCCUGUCAUUGAAUCAGUUUCACAAAGUGUGGAUAUCAAAAUCAAGCAGGAGCCUGAUGACCCGUCAGAUAUUCUUUCAGCCAAUGUUGAGAGAGAAUUAGGUAAAUUUUCUCAAGGGCCAUCCACAAUUAGCAGUGAAGAUUCAUUGUUUCAGCCACCAGUACUGAUUAAAGAGGAAAUAGUGUCCGAAGAAGAACAGUGAUUGUUUUUAUGUGAACUUACUGCCAUUGUAAAUUUGCCAUGAACUUUUAUUCAUUUAUUAAAAUUAUGCUAAUUUAAAAUACAAGUUUACAUCCUCAAAAAUUUUUAUCCAGUGAAAUAUUUUUCUCAAAUUUACUACCAUUGUAAAUUUGUCAUAAACUUUUGAUUAUUCAUUUACUAAGGUUUCACUGAUUCAAAAUGCAAGGUUGCAGAUGGGAUGCGCAAAAUGUUUUAUACAUUGAAAAAUUUUCCUCAAAUUUACCAAUGCAAAUUUGUCAUUAACCUUUGAUUAUUCAUUUAUUAAAGUUUCACUGAUUUAAAAUGCAAGGUUGCAGAUGCGCAAAAAGUUUUUAUUCUGGAAAACACUUUCCUCAAAUUUACUACCAUUGUAAAUUUGUCAUAAACUUUUGAUUAUUCAUUUACUAAGAUUCGCUCAUUCAAAAUUCAAGGUUGGAAAUGGGAUACGCGAAAAGUUUUUAUUCUGGUAGAAACCCUUUUCUUAAAACUUACUACCAUUGUAAAUUUGUCAUGAACUUUUAAUUAUUUGCUAACUAAAAUUGUCCAAUGUACUAGGUUAUUGGCAGAUAGGGUUUGCAAAAAUUUUCAUUCAAUGAAAAUUUUUCUUUGAAUUUACUGCCAUUGUAAAUUUGUUUUAAACUUUUAAUAAUUCAUUUAUCAAAGUUGCCUCGAUUCAUAAUGCAAGUUUGCAGGUGGGAUGCGCAAAAAGUUAUAUCCAGUGUAAAACUUACCUUAAAAUUACUUCCUUUUAAAAUUUGUCAUGACCUUUUAGUUAUUUAUUUACUUGUUAGCAGAUGGAGCACGAAAAAACGUUUGUAAGUUAGUGUUGUGUAAAUCAGUAAGUUUAUGUUAUACUUACGAAAAUGAACUUUUUUCCCUCUUUUAAUUUUAGGAAAUUUUUUAUUGGGGGGGGAUGCCUUUACGCUUAAAUCCAUUCUAUUCUGUUUUGUUCAAUUCUUGAUUUUAAGUACACUUUUAUUUAUUGUAAGAAUAACCAUGGCUUCUACAAUUUAGUUUGAAAACUGUUAAUAAUUUGAAAACAGUUAUAAAUUUUACAAUAUAGUAUCUUAAAUGCAAAACCUGGUUAGUUUUAUGUUUUCAGUUAAACACUGUCUUUUAAACAUGCAAAAUUGAACUGUUUUCCUUAAUCAAUAAACCAUGUAAGUUUAAGUUAAAAGGCUUUGUUGAUAUUUUAUCUAUAAAAGUUUUUAUCUGAUAACAAGUUUGAAUUUUAACAUAAUAACAAGUUUCCUGAUAAGUUUUGUGUGUAUAAACUAAUCAGCCUUUCCUUUUCUGUGAAUCUUUCAAGUCAGAAAAAAAAUCUCAAUUUGACCCGCAACACUAAACUUGUACUUUAAAAAAAAAAUGGAAAUAAAAUAUUUUCUAUAUAUUAUUGCUUAAUUAAUUGAUUAUGUACAGAAAAAUGAAAUUUUUAGCUGGUUUCCUGUUGGAAUUCAACUGAGAAAAUUGUAUUGCUAAAAUUUCAAUGUAAUUAAAUUUUUCGUCUUUGAGAAAAUUGUAUGUUUAUAAAUCAAAAAGUUAUGAUCGUAAGUUCUCCUAACUUCAAGAUCUAAUGCAACGUUUAAUGAAGUGUUAUUUAUAUAAAAAUUAAAAUACACAUUCUAAUUACUAGUGAUCUGAGAGCUUAAAUAAAGUGAUUGUUCUAUAAAAGUGGUUAUUUCCAAAACUUUUAGUGUAUAUUUUGAUGUAGUUUUAAUAAAUCUCAUAUUCAAUCUUUA
rnacentral:lncRNA from 1 species